AUGGCAAUUCAGGUUGCCACCUGCCACACCUCGGCGAAGCUAUGGAACACGGUUCAGGGGAUGCUGGCCUCGCAGACCCGUGCCGUCACUGUGAAUGUCCAGAUUGCCCUCGCCAAUCUUCAGAAAGGAAACAGCUCCAUCACCAAGUACGUUGGCAAGAUCCGAACCCUCUGUGAUGAACUUGCCGCAGUAGGAAAGAGGGUGGAUGAGGAGGACGUCAUCUCCCACAUCCUGGCCGGGCUUGAAGAAGAGUUCGACCCUGUGGUCUCCGCCAUGUGCUCCCGAGUGGAGCCAGUCACCGUGCCAGAGCUGUACUCGCAGCUCGUCAGCUUCGAGACAUGGAUGAACCUCCGCCAUGGGGGAUCGCAGUCUUCGGCAAAUGCAGCAACACGCGGGCGUGGCCGUGGCGGUGGUGACCGUGGCUGCGGCAGGCAAGGCAGCGACAACUCUGGUGGUGAUCGCGACCGUCCCUACACCAAGCAAAACGGCCGCGGCGGAGGUGGCAGGGGCAACUACAACAACUCUGCCUCUGCACCCAAGGUGGUGUGCCAGAUCUGUGGCAAGCCAGGCCACCCGGCCUGGAAGUGCUGGGAGCGCUAUGACGAGUCAUACCAGGGAGAAGAAGAGAAGUCCGCCAACAUGGUGACGCCUCAGUAUGGGGUAGACACAAAUUGGUACCUGGAUAGCGGCGCCACCGACCACAUCACCGGCGACUUGGAGAAAUUGACGGUGCACGACAGGUACACCAGCGGCGAGCAGAUCCACACUACAUCCGGUUCAGGGAACGAGGAAGGUUCUACUUCGAGGCAAGGGUAG
rnacentral:rRNA from 1 species